rnacentral:rRNA from 1 species
CCUACGGGGGGCAGCAGUGAGGAAUAUUGGUCAAUGGACGCAAGUCUGAACCAGCCAUGCCGCGUGCAGGAUGACGGCUCUAUGAGUUGUAAACCUCUUUUGCCGGGGAGCAAAAAGCGGUACGUGUACCGCAUCGAGAGUACCCGGAGAAAAAGCAUCGGCUAACUCCGUGCCAGCAGCCGCGGUAAUACGGAGGAUGCGAGCGUUAUCCGGAUUUAUUGGGUUUAAAGGGUGCGCAGGCGGCGAGUUAAGUCAGCGGUAAAAUUUCGGGGCUCAACCCCGACGAGCCGUUGAAACUGGCUUGC